ACGUAGGGUGCGAGCGUUAAUCGGAAUUACUGGGCGUAAAGCGUGCGCAGGCGGUUAUGUAAGACAGGUGUGAAAUCCCCGGGCUUAACCUGGGAACUGCGCUUGUGACUGCAUAACUCGAGUGUGGCAGAGGGGGGUGGAAUUCCACGUGUAGCAGUGAAAUGCGUAGAGAUGUGGAGGAACACCGAUGGCGAAGGCAGCCCCCUGGGUCAACACUGACGCUCAUGCACGAAAGCGUGGGGAGCAAACAGGAUUAGAUACCCUGGUAGUCCACGCCCUAAACGAUGCGAACUAGGUGUUGGGGAAGGAGACUUUCUUAGUACCGCAGCUAACGCGUGAAGUUCGCCGCCUGGGGAGUACGGUCGCAAGAUUA
rnacentral:rRNA from 1 species